UACAGAGGGGGCAAGCGUUGUUCGGAAUUACUGGGCGUAAAGGGCGCGUAGGCGGCCUGUUAAGUCGAACGUGAAAAUCCCCGGGCUCAACCCGGGAACUGCGUCCGAUACUGGCAGGCUUGAAUCCGGGAGAGGGAUGCGGGAAUUCCAGGUGUAGCGGUGAAAUGCGUAGAUAUCUGGAGGAAUACCGGUGGCGAAGGCGGCAUCCUGGACCGGCAUUGACGCUGAGUGAGCGAAAGCCAGGGGAGCAAACGGG
rnacentral:rRNA from 1 species